AACGCGAAGAACCUUACCCAGGUUUGACAUGCAGAUGACCGCUCUAGAAAUAGGGCUUUCCUUCGGGACAUCUGCACAGGUGCUGCAUGGCUGUCGUCAGCUCGUGCCGUGAGGUGUUGGGUUAAGUCCCGCAACGAGCGCAACCCUUAUCAUUAGUUGCCAACAUUUAAGGUGGGAACUCUAAUGAGACUGCCUGGGUUAACCAGGAGGAAGGUGAGGAUGACGUCAAGUCCGCAUGGCCCUUAUAUCUGGGGCUACACACGUGCUACAAUGGUCGGUACAGAAGGCAGCGAAACCGCGAGGCGAAGCAAAUCCCCAAAACCGAUCCCAGUUCAGAUUGUAGUCUGCAACUCGACUACAUGAAGACGGAAUUGCUAGUAAUGACGAGUCAGCAACAUCGUCGUGAAUACGUUCCCGGGCCUUGUACACACCGGAGUGC
rnacentral:rRNA from 1 species